rnacentral:rRNA from 1 species
GAACUGAAGAGUUUGAUCAUGGCUCAGAUUGAACGCUGGCGGCAGGCCUAACACAUGCAAGUCGAGCGGAUGAAGGGAGCUUGCUCCUGGAUUCAGCGGCGGACGGGUGAGUAAUGCCUAGGAAUCUGCCUGGUAGUGGGGGAUAACGUCCGGAAACGGGCGCUAAUACCGCAUACGUCCUGAGGGAGAAAGUGGGGGAUCUUCGGACCUCACGCUAUCAGAUGAGCCUAGGUCGGAUUAGCUAGUUGGUGGGGUAAAGGCCUACCAAGGCGACGAUCCGUAACUGGUCUGAGAGGAUGAUCAGUCACACUGGAACUGAGACACGGUCCAGACUC